GACAGCAUGGGGAAAUGAAGCAAUCUCAGCAGCAGCCCAGACCCGAGUGGUCACGCUGCAGUGGGCGAGGACCUGCCUUGGUUUCUGCUGUUUCUUACUGCUGCCGCUUUGUGGAGUUGCUAGCUUUGUCAAAGUACCACCUGGAAAGUGGUGCUAAAAGCAUUUUCUGAUUUUCCGAAGGAGUUAUGGAUGUAGCCUACUGCCAAGCAUCAGGUUACCAAUCUCCCCGACGUGGAAGCAGACCCAGAUGAAUUCUUGGAGCGAGGCUUAGAAGAAUAGGGCUAUAUAAUAUAUCUCUGCUUAGGCUACUGGAAAGUCCGAAAUGCUGCUUCACUGCAGAGGUGGGCCGAGCAAAACUCGGGGGGAAAGAGCCAUCUUGUGGUCACACAAGAAAAUGACUUCAUCGCUUCUCCGGCGUCUUGACUUAGAUGUGGGUAAUACAAACAUGGCUUGCUUGUUUUGUAAUUGUUUAUUUUUUCCUUCAGUUGCUAAAUAGGUUUCCUCCCUGGAAACCACCAAACAGGGAUUAAUAUAACUGUCCACCUUCUCUUUUUGGAACACUAGUCUUCAGAGGGAUUCUGGAGGAAGGGGUGCAGAUCUGAGCCACGGCUUCCACAGACGCUGGUUUAUGCUGAACCACCUCUGUGUGUCUGAAUUGAGGCGCUAGAAUGGGAAUGGGGAUGACACUCUUCCCCGCAGGUUUGGACAACAUGUCUCUGCUCCUGCCCACCCACCAGUCUCUUUGUUUUUCGCUGGUUUGGUACAAAUGGACACUGUAGUCUUAGAAUUCACGUGUUGAAGUUGGACCACAAGAUGGGAGGAAUCUAUUUCUUGUGGUUGGAAUUUGAAAGGUCUCUCUCCACAGGCUCAUGUUUUGCGCGAUUGAUCCUCUUGCUGAUGGAACUAUUUUGGGAAGCCACGGAGCUUUUAGGAGGUUGGAAAUAGCUAGAGGAAGUGAGCCUUGGAAGGUUGAAGAUUACCCUUGGUCUGGGCCGCCAUUUUUCCUUCUUUUGGGUCCUGAGUCGUAAAUAGACCAUGCUGCAUACUCUCACUUCUCUGCCUUCCCUGCACUAAUGAAUUCACUGAAACAGGGGGUUCAAGUAAAUCUUUCCACUCUUAGGUUGUUUCUCAGUUACUGUGGUCACAACAAUAUAAAAGUAACAGACACUGUCUCCAACAUCUUAGAGGAGAGCUGCCAGUCAACCAAGAAUGCUUCCUUUGGACUUUAUGGACAACAAGGAAUCUAUAGUCUUCCAUCUAUUAUCCGUCCUUUGUGUUUAUUUGUUAUAGCAUCUAGAGUUGCCUGAACCAAUGCUAAUUAACUUAACAGUGGGGAUCAGAGACAGACCUUCCCAUGAAGCAACAGUGUACUGUCUUCAGGGACCCUCAGUUGCACAGGCAUUUCUGAGGUCUUGGGUUGGUGUGUCUUUGGGUGUAUUUGUGCCAUCUUCUGGCAUUGUGUUCUAAUGGCUACAUUUUUGUGAAAUGUACAAAAGUAAGUUUUAAAUCACGUGCAAUUUGUCAGGACCACUCUCUCGUUCCUCCCAUAUCACCUUUCACUUUGUGUUGGAUGAUAUUGGACAGGCCACCUGGAUAAUGGGAAGUUGAGUCCAGAUACCUUUACUUUGAACUUUGUUUUGCCCCUGUGGCUUUUGAUCCCUUCCAUGUGGAGUUAAAUAAAUGCUCACCAGCCCUUCUGGUUUCA